AUGGCGGCCGAGCUGGAAUAUGAGUCUGUGCGGUGUGUGAAGCCCGACAUCAGCGUCUACCGGAUUCCGCCGCAGGCCUCCAACCGCGGUUACAGGCUCUAGAAGCACCAGAUAGCGUCUGACUGGAAGCUAGACCAACCUGAUUGGACCGGUCGCCUCCGAAUCACUUCAAAAGGGAAAAUUGCCUACAUCAAACUGGAAGAUAAAGUUUCAGGGGAGCCCUUUGCUCAGGCUCCAGUAGAAGAGUAUCCUGGUAUUGCUGUGGAGACUGUGACAGACUCUAGCCGCUACUUUGUCAUCAGGAUCCAGGUACCCAGUGCAGCGCGUUUAUUGGCAUUGGCUUCACGGAUCGGGAAGAUGCCUUCGACUUUAACGUUUCCCUGCAAGACCAUUUCAAGUGGGUAAAGCAGGAAACCGAGAUUUCCAAAGAAUCACAGGAAAUGGAUAAUCGUCCCAAGUUGGAUUUAGGCUUCAAGGAAGGACAGACCAUCAAGUUGAGUACUGGGAAUAUUACAGCCAAGGAAGGAGGUGCUUCUAAGUCUCGGGCCUCAGGGACUGGGGGCCUGAGCUUACUUCCACCUCCACCUGGAGGCAAAGUCACUAUUCCCACACCAUCCUCCUCAGUUGCCAUCAGCAACCAUGUCACCCCACCACCUAUUCCAAAAUCUAACCAUGGAGGUAAUGAUUCAGAUAUCCUGUUAGAUUUGGAUUCUCCAGCUCCUGUCUCGACUUCAGCACCAGCUCCAGUUUCUACAAGCAAUGACUUGUGGGAGACUUCAGCAUCCAGCUCUGUUCCAACCCAGGCACCACAGCCGGCUAACUGGGUCCAGUUUUUGAGGAGCAUUGGCAAGAAGUUAAGGACACUUGAAUAA